AAACCUAACUUAAGAAAUUCAAAAAAAAAUCCCGUAUACUUUUAUUGGACCAUAAAUGAGUAAAUUAACUUACUUCAUUACAAGUACAAUUUAAAGGAGCACUAGUUGCUUGGACCACAUAAAAACAAUAGGCUACUUAUCUAACAAAAGCAUGGAUAAAAACACAAAAAUAUUUAGUUCAUGAAAUGAGCCAAUUCUUACUUCAAUAAAUAGCUUUGAAUAUUUGGAUGGCCACUCAUCAGUGUCAUUCACAUUAGACCUGCAACCAAUACUCCAUUACCAUUAACAAUUGAAGAUCAUUCUGCAAGUGGAAAUCAUUAUAAUAAAACAAUGCUAUUCAAUUUUUGACUAGCAAGCACAAGGAGUAUUGACCAUUAAGCCAUUCAA
rnacentral:misc_RNA from 1 species